GGUUGGAGGAGAAAUGCAAACUAAUUCAAAUGCCAUCAUUCCUAUUGGUUUUUAUUUUAUUUUGACAUGUUUCUCUUGUUUUCUUUGCAGAAUUUCUCUGUUUCGCCAAAUCAGUAACUCAGGAUUUUAUUUAUUUAUUAUGUUAUUUUGUGUGAAUGCUCCAUAUAAGGAAUAUCUCUCUGGUGUUUGGAGAAUGGUUUGCUUUGAGUGAGGAGGAAGAAGCCAAAGGAGUCAUCCUCAUUUGGAAUAAUAACCCCCUAAACAUGAAUGGCUAUAAUUUCACCAGUUUGAAUUCCACCGGUGAAGCACAGGCUUUCCCGUACUCAGCAUCAAUAGAGGACCCUCUGUACAGGCAGUACAAGCCCGCAGUGAAGGAACUCAUCCCUUUGCCUAAGGCAGUGCUGUACCUGCUCAUGGCCGCCCUGGUAGUAGUUGGAGUUGCCUAUGCUAUUAUUGGACAUCUCAUCAAGGAUCUGGCCAUGGACAUUGCAGAUUGUAUGUUGGGUCCGCCUGAUGAUGAGGACAUGGACAAAGACAACAACCCGCACCGCAUCUCCUCCAGCCAUCCUCCCUCAGCACAUCCAUUUGCCCAUAACGCCUUCCACGUGUGGGACCAGGAUGACGUGGUCAUCCCCCUGCCCCCUGAUGAAAGCCCUCAGACCAGCCCGCUGCUGCUGGCUGCCAUUCCCUACAUCCCCUCUUUCUUCCCACACUCACACAGCCCAACCAGUCACAGCUCUCUGGCUUUCUCUGGCAGCCCUGGACCAACAAUGGAGACCAGCAUCCCGAGGGAGUUCUGAUUUUAACAAGGACCACGAUCGUGAACAGCCUGGAUGCCUAGUAACAAAGUGUCAGAACCCAAGCACAUAAAAGUCAGAGCAAACAUCCUGAGAAGGACAUGCCAAGGACAAAAAAAGGAUUACAGAAGAUCAUCACUGGACAUUGUCUCUGUGUGCCUGAGCUUCAGUGAGAAGCUGUUUGACGUCUUAGAUGAAGUUUAGAC